GAUUCCCUGGUAACCCUGGUCUCAAUUCUAAUGAGAAAUAGGUGUUCUCUUUUACUUAUAUAAAAAACGUAGCUAUUAAUUAUUAUUUUUAAAAAUUGAUACUAAUAUAAUAAUAGAAAAAUAUGUUUCAAAUAUGAAUGCAUAUGUACGUUACAAUUUUAUAAACAUUAGGUGUUCUCUUUUACUUGUAUAAAAAACGUAGUUAUUAAUUAUUUUUAAAAAAAGAUACUAAUAUAAUAAUAGAAAAAUAUGUUUCAAAUAUGAAUGCAUAUGUACGUUGCAAUUUUUUAAACAUUAGCUCAUUGGUAAACAAAAAGAACCAAAGUGGCAAUUCUACAAUUCACAUAAUAAAAGGUCUAUACUUUCUGCAAAAGGGAGUGAGUCCAUUAUAAUUGGAUAUGCAUUAUAAUUUUAUUCUUCUGAAAAAAUGAUGAUUGUGGAACAGGCCUUUCCUAUAUAACUACAUCCGAAGAAACAAGUCAUUCAAAGUCCAAAGAUGAAAGGAAUUAAGGAAAUGAGAAUAUUAAAUUUUAUAUGGUUAUACUAAAUACAGAGUUUUGAGACCCUUGCACCCUUACAAUUAUCAACUGUCAAAUAAUUGGGAAGAAUAAACUUAUGAUGUAUUGCAAUAAAUAUAGGGUUUGAUGUUCAAGUAAGAAAAAUACUCGAUUAACAAAAGCAAG
rnacentral:lncRNA from 1 species